AUUGAACGCUGGCGGCAUGCCUUACACAUGCAAGUCGAACGGCAGCACGGGGGCAACCCUGGUGGCGAGUGGCGAACGGGUGAGUAAUGCAUCGGAACGUGCCCAGUAGUGGGGGAUAACUAGUCGAAAGAUUAGCUAAUACCGCAUACGACCUAUGGGUGAAAGCGGGGGAUUCGCAAGAACCUCGCGCUAUCGGAGCGGCCGAUGUCUGAUUAGCUAGUUGGCGGGGUAAAAGCCCACCAAGGCGACGAUCAGUAGCUGGUCUGAGAGGACGACCAGCCACACUGGGACUGAGACACGGCCCAGACUCCUACGGGAGGCAGCAGUGGGGAAUUUUGGACAAUGAGCGCAAGCCUGAUCCAGCCAUGCCGCGUGC
rnacentral:rRNA from 1 species